GUUAUGAGUCUUUGGAGUGUCAGUCUUUGCACUGCUGCCUUCAGGAUCAUUUCUGGGAAUCUGUGGAAAUUUGACCUUCAGAGUGAUGACCUAAGGUAUCCAGUGGAAGGAAUGCCUAAGCCACAAAGUGUUCAAGAUAUGUCCUGGCUUCUUCUAACAGUCUAUACUCAGAGGAAGGAGCAAAGAAAUGGCUUAAAGUUGGAACUUAUACUUACACAGGGAGCAGAGCAUAAAAGUUUGGAAAAUCUGCAGCCUGGCCAUCUGGUAAAGAAAGAAAUGCUUUUUCAGGAGAGGAUUUCAAGCAGGCUGUGGAGCAACCAUGUGCUAGAUAAAUUUGUAUAAAUAAAAAGCAGACCAAUCCUGAUAGCCAAGACAAUGGGAAAAGGCCUGAAAGGCAUUUCGGAGAUCUUUGAGGCAGCCCCUCCCAUCACAGGCCCAGAGAUCCAGGAGGACUGAAUGGUUUUGGGGCCCAGGCCUGGGGCACCACUGUCCUGCACCAUCCCAGGAGUUUUAUCCUUGCGUCCUGGCAACUCUGGCUCCAGCCUCAGGCCAAAGGGGCCCAUGUACAGCCUGGGCUGCUGCUUCAGAGGGUACAAGUCGUAAGCCACAUGGUGUUAAGCUUAUAGGUGCACAAAGUGAAUGAGGCUUGGCAGUCUCUGCCUAGAUUUCAGAGGAUGUAUAAGAAAGCCUGGGUGCCCAGGCAGAAACCUGCUGUAGGGGCAGAGUCCUCACAGAAAGCCUCUACUAAGGCAUUAUGGAGGGAAAAUGUGGGAUUGAGGGCACUGCCUAGUAGAGCUGUCAGAGGAGGCCAGCACCCUCCAGUACCCAGAAUAGUAGAUCUACUGGAAGCUUUCACUCUGUGCCUUGAAAAGCCACAGGCAUUCAACAACCUGUGAGAGCAGCCAUGGGGACUGAACCCUGCAGAGACACAGGAGCACGGGCUGCCCAAUGUCUUGGGAAGCCACCCCUUGAAUCAGUGUGCUCUAAUGUGGGACAUGAAGUUAAAGGAGAUUAUUUUGGAGCUUUAAGAUUAAAUGACUGCCCUGAUGGGUGUAGGACUUGCUUGGAUCCUUUCUUUGCUCCUUUCUUUGCUCCUUUCUUUUAGCCGAUUUCUCCCUUUUGAAAUGGAAAUGUUUACCCAAUGCCUGUAAUCCCAUUGUAUCUUGAAAAUAAAUAACUUGCUUAAUUUUAUGGGCUCAUAGGUGAAUGGAGCUCAUCUCCAGAUGAGACUUUGGUCUUCUGGGGGACUGUUGAGAAGACAUGAUUGUAUUUUACAAUGUGAGAAGGACAUAAGAUUUAGGGGGCCAGGGAUGGAAUGAUAUUGUUUGAAUAUGCAUCCCCACCAAUCUCAUGUUGAAUUGUAAUCCCCAAUGCCAGAGGUGGCACCUGGUGGGAGGUGUUUGGGUCAUGAGGGAAGAACCCUCAUGAAUUGGUGUUGUCCUUGUGAUAGUGAGUGAGAUUUUGUGAAAGCUGGUUAAGUGUAUGGCACCCACCACUCAACUCCCUCUCUUUCUCUUGCUUUUGUCAUGUGAUGUGCCUAUUCCUGCUUCACCUUCUCCCAUGAAUAAAAGCUCCCUAAGGCCUCCCCAGAAGCUGAGCAGAUGCCAGCUCCAUGCUUGCACAGCCUGCAGAACCACAAGCCAAUGAAAUAUCUUGUCUUUAUAAAUUACCCAGCCUCAGAUAUUCUUUUAUAUCAAUGCUAGAAUGGCCUAACAUAAUUAUAUCUCUAAGUAUGUAGCAAGUUAUAUAUAUUAAAAUAUACCAACAUUUUUAGGUUUCAUUCAUCUGUGACAUUUAGUAACUUCUUUUACCACCCACUUUCCUAUAUGGUAUGUUAACACUAUUUUUAUAUUGAAUUUAUUUAAAAUUACUGAAAAGUCUAGAAAAACUGCUCAAUAUCUUGCAAAUUGUUCAAGAUAUACAUUACUUGCUUAAUUUCCAUAUCAAUCUUAGGAGAUAAAAUGCGUUAAUAAUGUAGUUUAUAGAUGAUGAUACUGUG
rnacentral:lncRNA from 1 species